rnacentral:rRNA from 1 species
UACAGAGGGUGCAAGCGUUGCUCGGAAUUAUUGGGCGUAAAGGGCUCGUAGGCGGUCUGUUGCGUCGGGAGUGAAAACUCAGGGCUUAACCCUGAGCCUGCUUCCGAUACGGGCAGACUAGAGGUAUGCAGGGGAGAACGGAAUUCCUGGUGUAGCGGUGAAAUGCGCAGAUAUCAGGAGGAACACCGGUGGCGAAGGCGGGUCUCUGGGCCGAUACUGGCGCUGAGGAGCGAAAGCGUGGGGAGCGAACAGG